rnacentral:rRNA from 1 species
CAGUAGCCACGGUAAAACGGAGGGGGCUAGCGUUGUUCGGAAUUACUGGGCGUAAAGCGCACGUAGGCGGCUUGGUAAGUUAGAGGUGAAAGCCUGGAGCUCAACUCCAGAAUUGCCUUUAAGACUGCAUCGCUUGAACGUCGGAGAGGUGAGUGGAAUUCCGAGUGUAGAGGUGAAGUUCGUAGAUAUUCGGAGGAACACCAGUGGCGAAGGCGGCUCACUGGCUCGAUACUGACGCUGAGGUGCGAAAGCGUGGGGAGCAAACAGGAUUAGAUACCCCAGUAGUCCCUGUCUCUUAUAC